rnacentral:rRNA from 1 species
GGGUUGUGAGGUUAAGCGACUAAGCGUACACGGUGGAUGCCCUGGCAGUCAGAGGCGAUGAAGGGCGUGCUAAUCUGCGAUAAGCGCCGGUAAGGUGAUAUGAACCGUUAUAACCGGCGAUACCCGAAUGGGGAAACCCAGUGUGAUUCGUCACACUAUCAUUAACUGAAUCCAUAGGUUAAUGAGGCGAACCGGGGGAACUGAAACAUCUAAGUACCCCGAGGAAAAGAAAUCAACCGAGAUUCCCCCAGUAGCGGCGAGCGAACGGGGAGGAGCCCAGAGCCUGAAUCAGCAUGUGUGUUAGUGGAAGCGUCUGGAAAGGCGCGCGAUACAGGGUGACAGCCCCGUACACAAAAGCGCAUGUGCUGUGAGCUCGAUGAGUAGGGCGGGACACGUGGUAUCCUGUCUGAAUAUGGGGGGACCAUCCUCCAAGGCUAAAUACUCCUGACUGACCGAUAGUGAACCAGUACCGUGAGGGAAAGGCGAAAAGAACCCCGGCGAGGGGAGUGAAAAGAACCUGAAACCGUGUACGUACAAGCAGUGGGAGCACAGGUUUACCUGUGUGACUGCGUACCUUUUGUAUAAUGGGUCAGCGACUUAUAUUCUGUAGCAAGGUUAACCGUAUAGGGGAGCCGUAGGGAAACCGAGUCUUAACCGGGCGUUAAGUUGCAGGGUAUAGACCCGAAACCCGGUGAUCUAGCCAUGGGCAGGUUGAAGGUUGGGUAACACUAACUGGAGGACCGAACCGACUAAUGUUGAAAAAUUAGCGGAUGACCUGUGGCUGGGGGUGAAAGGCCAAUCAAACCGGGAGAUAGCUGGUUCUCCCCGAAAGCUAUUUAGGUAGCGCCUCGUGAAUUCAUCUCCGGGGGUAGAGCACUGUUUCGGCUAGGGGGCCAUCCCGGCUUACCAACCCGAUGCAAACUGCGAAUACCGGAGAAUGUUAUCACGGGAGACACACGGCGGGUGCUAACGUCCGUCGUGAAGAGGGAAACAACCCAGACCGCCAGCUAAGGUCCCAAAGUCAUGGUUAAGUGGGAAACGAUGUGGGAAGGCACAGACAGCCAGGAUGUUGGCUUAGAAGCAGCCAUCAUUUAAAGAAAGCGUAAUAGCUCACUGGUCGAGUCGGCCUGCGCGGAAGAUGUAACGGGGCUAAACCAUGCACCGAAGCUGCGGCAGCGACGUUUAUGCGUUGUUGGGUAGGGGAGCGUUCUGUAAGCCUGCGAAGGUGGCCUGUGAGGGUUGCUGGAGGUAUCAGAAGUGCGAAUGCUGACAUAAGUAACGAUAAAGCGGGUGAAAAGCCCGCUCGCCGGAAGACCAAGGGUUCCUGUCCAACGUUAAUCGGGGCAGGGUGAGUCGACCCCUAAGGCGAGGCCGAAAGGCGUAGUCGAUGGGAAACGGGUUAAUAUUCCCGUACUUGGUGUUACUGCGAAGGGGGGACGGAGAAGGCUAUGUUGGCCGGGCGACGGUUGUCCCGGUUUAAGCGUGUAGGCUGGUUUUCCAGGCAAAUCCGGAAAAUCAAGGCUGAGGCGUGACGACGAGGCACUACGGUGCUGAAGCAACAAAUGCCCUGCUUCCAGGAAAAGCCUCUAAGCAUCAGGUAACAUCAAAUCGUACCCCAAACCGACACAGGUGGUCAGGUAGAGAAUACCAAGGCGCUUGAGAGAACUCGGGUGAAGGAACUAGGCAAAAUGGUGCCGUAACUUCGGGAGAAGGCACGCUGACACGUAGGUGAAGUGAUUUACUCAUGGAGCUGAAGUCAGUCGAAGAUACCAGCUGGCUGCAACUGUUUAUUAAAAACACAGCACUGUGCAAACACGAAAGUGGACGUAUACGGUGUGACGCCUGCCCGGUGCCGGAAGGUUAAUUGAUGGGGUCAGCGCAAGCGAAGCUCCUGAUCGAAGCCCCGGUAAACGGCGGCCGUAACUAUAACGGUCCUAAGGUAGCGAAAUUCCUUGUCGGGUAAGUUCCGACCUGCACGAAUGGCGUAAUGAUGGCCAGGCUGUCUCCACCCGAGACUCAGUGAAAUUGAACUCGCUGUGAAGAUGCAGUGUACCCGCGGCAAGACGGAAAGACCCCGUGAACCUUUACUAUAGCUUGACACUGAACAUUGAGCCUUGAUGUGUAGGAUAGGUGGGAGGCUUUGAAGCGUGGACGCCAGUCUGCGUGGAGCCGACCUUGAAAUACCACCCUUUAAUGUUUGAUGUUCUAACGUGGACCCGUAAUCCGGGUUGCGGACAGUGUCUGGUGGGUAGUUUGACUGGGGCGGUCUCCUCCUAAAGAGUAACGGAGGAGCACGAAGGUUGGCUAAUCCUGGUCGGACAUCAGGAGGUUAGUGCAAUGGCAUAAGCCAGCUUGACUGCGAGCGUGACGGCGCGAGCAGGUGCGAAAGCAGGUCAUAGUGAUCCGGUGGUUCUGAAUGGAAGGGCCAUCGCUCAACGGAUAAAAGGUACUCCGGGGAUAACAGGCUGAUACCGCCCAAGAGUUCAUAUCGACGGCGGUGUUUGGCACCUCGAUGUCGGCUCAUCACAUCCUGGGGCUGAAGUAGGUCCCAAGGGUAUGGCUGUUCGCCAUUUAAAGUGGUACGCGAGCUGGGUUUAGAACGUCGUGAGACAGUUCGGUCCCUAUCUGCCGUGGGCGCUGGAGAACUGAGGGGGGCUGCUCCUAGUACGAGAGGACCGGAGUGGACGCAUCACUGGUGUUCGGGUUGUCAUGCCAAUGGCACUGCCCGGUAGCUAAAUGCGGAAGAGAUAAGUGCUGAAAGCAUCUAAGCACGAAACUUGCCCCGAGAUGAGUUCUCCCUGAGACUUAGAGUCUCCUGAAGGAACGUUGAAGACGACGACGUUGAUAGGCCGGGUGUGUAAGCGCAGCGAUGCGUUGAGCUAACCGGUACUAAUGAACCGUGAGGCUUAACCUUACAACGCCGAAG